CAGCAGCCGCGGUAAUACGAAGGGGGCUAGCGUUGUUCGGAUUUACUGGGCGUAAAGCGCACGUAGGCGGAUCGAUCAGUCAGGGGUGAAAUCCCAGAGCUCAACUCUGGAACUGCCUUUGAUACUGUCGAUCUGGAGUAUGGAAGAGGUGAGUGGAAUUCCGAGUGUAGAGGUGAAAUUCGUAGAUAUUCGGAGGAACACCAGUGGCGAAGGCGGCUCACUGGUCCAUUACUGACGCUGAGGUGCGAAAGCGUGGGGAGCGAACAGGAUUAGAGACCCCUGUAGUCCCUGUCUCUUAUAC
rnacentral:rRNA from 1 species